rnacentral:tRNA from 1 species
GCCGCGGUCGCAUAGCCCGGCUAUUGCGGUAGAUUGCUAAUCUACUGUCCGAAAGGGCACGGGGGUUCGAAUCCCUCCCGCGGCG